AGGAUACAAUAAUCAUGGGGAAACAGUGGAUGUAGUACCUCCUGGAUCUACUGGCUCUAGGAUGCAUUCUCCCUGCUUUUGAUUCCCAUCAGGAGGUUCUACUAUGGUGAGUACUGCAAAUGUAUUCCUCCUGGUUACUUCAGCAUAGUUGGUCACUUUGUUUUGAUUUUUAUCCUCAGGGCCUUGGACAGCUGCAAUCUGCUUGCCUUUGUUAUUCCUUUCUACAGUAGGCACCUCUGUUUGUUUGUCAUUCUGCUGCCCUUCUACUGUCUCCUCAGUUACAGCUUUUGGUUGCCAAUGCACUCGGUUUACCUUCUUUUUCCUCCUUCUCUGUCUAUGGACUUCUAUAUUCUGUUGUUUCUCCUUCUGACAGUCACCAUUUUUGUGCCUAAACGAGUUGCAUUCAAGGCAGAAGGUUGGUUUCCAUUCAUACUCCACAUUUUGUAGCCAGCUUUUCCCAUCUGGUAUCUCUAUGUAGACAUUCUCAGGCAGAGGUUCAGUGAUAUCAACUUCCACAAGAACUCUCACAUAGGAGAUUCUUUCACAUUCAGCAGUUAACCUGUCAGUGCAUAAAGGCUUACCCAGUAAGCUUG
rnacentral:lncRNA from 1 species